UACGUAGGGUGCGAGCGUUGUCCGGAAUUAUUGGGCGUAAAGGGCUCGUAGGCGGUCUGUUACGUCGGGAGUGAAAACUCAGGGCUCAACCCUGAGCCUGCUUCCGAUACGGGCAGACUAGAGGUAUGCAGGGGAGAAUGGAAUUCCUGGUGUAGCAGUGAAAUGCGCAGAUAUCAGGAGGAACACCGGUGGCGAAGGCGGUUCUCUGGGCAUUACCUGACGCUGAGGAGCGAAAGCGUGGGGAGCAAACAGG
rnacentral:rRNA from 1 species